UUAUACUAUGUUAUAUUAUCAUAGUGUGAUAAAUUAUUUUAAUAAAAUUGUUUAGGUAUCUUUUGUAAUGGAUAAGUCAUGGAUUUCAAAGGCCCGAAACUCAAUUGAUUACUCCAUUGGUUUGAGUAAAUUCUUAGAUUUUGCUUUUAAGAAUGGAGCUGUAGGAGAAACGAUUCGAUGUCCAUGUCCAAAAUGUGGAUUUAUGAAAUGGCAAACUAGAGACAUAGUUGAAGAUCACUUGCUAUAUAAACCAUUUCCUCAAAACUAUGUUAUAUGGGAUCUUCAUGGUGAAAAGCAAGCAUUAGAAUCUUCUCAAGUGGAAGAUGUUUUCCAAGAUAGUGGUGUUUAACCUCAAAACCCAAUGGAAAUGAUGAUCAAUGACGCAUUUGAACAAUAUAGGCAACAUGACCCUAAUGUAGGUGCAUCACAACCAUUAAAUGAAGAUGAAAUAGUAAAUGAUGAACCAAGAGAAGAUCAUAAUGACUUUUAUGAGCUUCUAAAUGAUGGGAGCCAAACAUUGUAUGAAGGAAGCAAGUACACAAAACUAGAAUUUAUAAUCAAAUUAUAUCAUAUAAAAGUUUUGUGUGGAUUAAGCGACAAGGCAAUGACUAUAAUAUUGGAUUUGUUAAAUGACGCAUUUGAAAAAGCAAAGUUUCCUCCUUCUAUUUAUGAGGCAAAGAAAAUUAUUAACAAGCUUGGUCUUAAUUAUAAAAAGAUAGAUGCUUGUCCAAAACACUGCAUGUUGUAUUUGGGAGAUGAUGAAAAAAGUUUGGAUGCUUGUAAGCAUUGUGGUACAUCUAGAUGGAAACCCAACAAGAAGAAGAAAAUAGCUGCAAAUGUUUUACGUUACUUUCCAUUGAAACCAAGAUUGCAAAGAUUGUUCACAUGUCGUAAGACUCCAAAAGAUAUGAGAUGGCAUGUUUUGGAAGACAAUAAAGAUGGGUUGUUAAGGCAUCCAAGAGAUGGAGAGGCAUGGAAGACAUUUGAUUUAAUCCAUCCUGAGUUUUCUUCAGAUCCUCGAAAUGUUCGCUUAGGCCUUGCUACUGAUGGUUUUAAUCCUGCUAGAACCUUGAGUUCUACCUAUAGCAUCUGGCCAGUUUUCUUAAUUCCAUAUAAUCUUCCACCUUGGAUAUGUAUGAACCACACUUCCUUCAUUCUAUCAAUGAUCAUUCCAGGCAAGCAAUCUCAUGGAAAUAACAUAGAUGUGUACCUAAAGCCCCUUGUAAAGGAGUUACGUGAGUUAUGGAGUGGUGUGGACACCUAUGACUCAUCCUUAAAUGAAAAUUUUAGAAUGCGAGCAGCUCUUAUGUGGACAAUUAGUGACUUUCCUGGCUUAGGCAUCUUAUCUGGUUGGAACAUACACACAGGAUUGGCUUGCCCAACUUGCAAUUUAGAUGCGGAACCUUGUCGCCUUCGAAAUUGUAACAAGUGGUGUUUUAUGGGGCAUCGUCGUUUUCUAAGUAGAAAUCAUAAAUUUAGAUUGAACUGUGUUCGCUUUGAAGGAAGCAUAGAAGAACGAAACCCACCAUUAAAAUUAUCUGGAUCUGACAAUUUUCGACAAGUGGAACAUAUUAAUACUACAUUUGGAAUUGGAGCUAUUCAAAAUGGAACAAGAAAAAGAUCUAGACAAGAAGUCACACAGUGGAAUAAAAGAAGCAUAUUCUUUGAACUUCCAUAUUGGGAGUCUAACUUGUUACGACAUAAUCUAGAUUUUAUGCAUAUUGAAAAAAAUGUAUGCGACAAUGUCAUGUAUACAUUGCUUCAUGAGAAGGAUAAAUCAAAAGACAACCUUAAUGCUCGAAAAGACUUAAAAGAAAUGGGCUUAAGGCCUGAUCUUUGGCCAGAUGAUAAUGGAAAGUAUCACCUUGCUUUGUUUUCACUAACACGUGGUACCAAAAAGUUAUUUUUGAAAACUUUGAAGACUAUUACAGUACCAGAUGGUUACUCAAGUAACAUUUCCAAAUGUAUUGAUGAGAAACUUAAUAAAAUAUCUGGGUUAAAAAGUCACGAUUGCCAUAUUAUUAUGGAACAAUUGUUACCACUAGCAAUUCGUAACUUGUUGCCAGACCAUGUGACUUCUGUCUUAGUGGAGUUCUAUUUUUUUUUAGAAUACUUUGUGGUAAAACUUUAAAUCUUCCAGAACUUCAGUUGCUCCAAGAUCGCAUUGUGGUUACACUAUGCCACUUAGAAAUGUUAUUCCCUCCAUCAUUCUUCACAGUUAUGGUUCAUUUAACUGUUCAUCUUAUAGAGGAAGCAAAACUUGGCCCAGUGCAUUAUCGAUAUAUGUAUCCAGUAGAGAAGUAAAGAUUUAAAUAAUUUAAAUUUAUGAUGUUAUAUUACAAAUAUCUUACUUGUACACUCUUUAAUUGUUAGUUAUUUCUAUAGGGAAUUAGGUCACUUAAAAUCCUUUGUCAGAAACAAGGCACAACCUGAAGGAUCCAUAGCUGAGGGGUAUUUAGCUGAAGAGUCUCUUACCUUUUGUUCUCGGUACGUUGAAGAUAUCGAGACAAGGUUUAAUAGACCUAAACGUGUUUGUGAUAACCCAAUUGAUAAUGAGACUUUUUUUGUGUCCUCUAUCUUCCCACAAAUUGGAAAACCAGUAGGAGCUUGUUCAAUGUUCACUUUAACUCCAAUGCAAAAAUUGCAAGCUCAUCGAUAUGUGCUCCUUAAUUGCACUAUAGUCACACCAUUUGUGGAUGAAUUUAGAGAAUUCAUAAAAAGGAGUUCAAGAGCAAGAAGACCUUCGUCUACAGAGAUAGAGAAAAAAGUCAAUAAAGAGUUUGUUGAUUGGUUUAGAAAGCGGUCAUGCAAAAGGUGAAGCGUUUUAGAAAUCCACAAAAAUCAGCACCUCAACCACAAUGUCCCUCACUAAGUGAUUCCACACAAGCUCCUGAAGUCCCAACUUGUAAUGUCCCUUUUUCUCAUGAAUCAACAUCUGAAGUUCCAGCAAUGAAUCCUGAAAUUUCUUGCCCACCAAGUGAUUCCACACAAGCUCCUGAAGUCCCAACUGGUAAUGUCCCUCUUUCUCAUGUAUCAACAUCUGAAGUUCCACAAGAAGAUAAAACAACUAGACGUCAUGCUGGGCGUGAGUCUACACACUGUUGGACUGUUGAGGCAAUAGACUCUGAAGAAACGAUCAAGAAGAUUAAGGUGAAAGUUAGGGGAGUCAAUAGCUUACCUAGGGAGUUACGCAUCAUUGUGAAUUUUGAUGACCAAGGCCAAGCAAUUGGUGAAGCACAAGCCUUGCUUGCAGGAUUUCUUGGAACACUAGCAGCUGAUUGCAAAUUAUUUCCUAUGGAUUAUGAUAGAUGGUCUGGACCUUCAGGCAUACCUAAAGCUUAUUUUGAUAAUUGCUUUGAAACAAUUUUAAAGCCUCGAUUUUAUUUAAGAUUAAUGAAGCUGGUGCAAAACGGUAUUACAAAUUGAGUAUGUGAAGAAAAUGGGCUGCAAAUAGGCAAAGCUUAUGGAAUGAAUUCAACGAUCCAACCAAAGCAAGA